rnacentral:ncRNA from 1 species
CCCAAUCUUUUAACACAAGGUCUUGGUCUUAAACCUAUUAUUAUCUAAACUCUAUACUUAUACAUGCAAGCCUCAACACAACAGUGAAAAAGCCCACCACCAACCUCACAAGGAGCCGAUAUCAGGUCAAUCACCCAUGACAUCAAGCAACUAAGCCACACCCCCACGGGUCCACAGCAGUAGUUAAUAUUGGGCAAUAAGCGCAAGCUUGACCCAGCAAUAGAGUCACAGGGCCGGUUAAUCUCGUGCCAGCGACCGCGGUUACACGACAGACCCAAGACAAUACCACCGGCGUAAAGCACGACUAAAAUCCAGUUUACCCCAUUAGAGGUGAAGAAAGACUUGGCCGUAAAAAGCCAUAAGUUGCACUAACCACAAACCCUAAUAUUAAACAACUUCAACUCGUGAAAGUCAGGGGACAAACUAAGAUUAGAUACCUUACUAUGCCUAACCAUAACAAAACAAUCAAACUACCAAUUGUUCGCCAAAUAACUACGAGUAAAAACUUAAAAUUUAAAAGACUUGACGGUACUUCACACCAACCUAGAGGAGCCUGUCUAUUAACCGAUAACCCACGAUUAACCCAACCCGCUCUAGCCUAACAGUCUAUAUACCGCCGUCGCCAGCUUACCUUGUGAAAGAACCAAAGCAAGCCCAAUAACCCCCAUUAACACGACAGGUCGAGGUGUAACUAAUGAGCCGGACCAAGAUGGGCUACAUUUUCUAACUCAGAAAAAACGAAUAGACUAUGAAACUAGAAACUGAAGGCGGAUUUAGCAGUAAGUUGGGAAUAAACACACCCAGCCGAAGUCAACGCAAUGAAGUGCGCACACACCGCCCGUCAUCCCUGUAAAAUUCCUCACUCACUUCAUAAAAACCAUAUCCCAUCAAAGCAGGGCAAGUCGUAACAUGGUAAGCGUACUGAAAG